ensembl:lncRNA
AUUGACCAGAAGAGGAAGGGGAGGAAAAGGAGAAAGGAGAAGAGUAAAUUAAAAGAAAGAGGACCAGUCCCAAAAAACAUUCCCCUUCUCCCUUGCACAAACGGAAGUACUGAUUCCAUUCUCCAUGCCUCUUCCUUGUUCCUGGAAGUUCUUAUUUCACUCUCUGAAGUGCCAACUAAGGUUUUCUCUCUCAACUACCCACUGAAACUCAGGAUUAGCUAGAAGGACAGUCUUCUUCUGUUAAAUAAUGAAGGAUUUAUUUCAUACUGUGGGAUUUGAAGGGGAGCUGUGUGUGUAAUUGUGAUGGGCUCUCGGUACUGCCAAGAAAUACUGGAGCUCAGAAGACUAGAGCUAUGUCCUCCUCCUCUCCUCCCUCACUGUCUGAGCUGACUUCACUCUGGAGGUGGUAGGAAGACUCCGACAUAAAGAGAGACUUGUGUUUUACCCCAAUAGCCAGCCUCUCAGUGGCUGUACAGUACAUCUCUUCAGCUAAGGCCUCAAAGCACAUAAGAGCACAGAGUAACAGGAAACUGGAAUCUCAUCUCUUCUCCCUGUCUCCACUCUUCCUCCUCUGCAAAUUUGACUUGUCUGAUGCUACCUCUGUCUACACUACCCCAACAGACAGGCAGAUGGAUGGACGGAGGGAAGAGGCAGACAGACAGACAGACAGACAGGUAGAUAGACAGACAGGCAGACAGACAUGUAGACAGACGGACAGACAGGCAGACAGACAUGUAGACAGACGGGUAGAUAGACAGGCAGACAGACAGGUAGAUAGGCAGACAGAUAGACAGGUAGAUAAACAGACAGAAAGGUAGACAGACAGACAGGUAGGUAGGUAGAUAGGCAGACAGACAGGUAGAUAGACAGACAGACAGACAGACAGACAGGUAGAUAAACAGACAGACAGGUAGAUAGACAGACAGACAGGUAGAUAAACAGACAGACAGGUAGAUAAACAGACAGACAGGUAGACAGACAGACAGACAACGGGAGGGAAAAGACAGAAAACCAGCCCUGUGUUGCCAGCUGUUUUUUCUGUACAUUUAUAUUCUUCAAUCUACAGGGAACACAGAUCUGUAUGUAUUUCUGUAGGAACAAACACUUAGAGAGAAUGGAGACACGUCCGUUCCUCACCUGUACAUAUCAACUAGCUAUCUGUGGUUUACUGUAUAGUCUGCAUUCUGACCAUCAACACACUGUACUGGUUUGGACCGGGGCAUUGAGAGGGACAUGGAGUCACUGUCAUUAGGCCAGGCUACAUCUGAAGGAGAACUUAACAAGAGUCUGUUUUUUUGUUGGUUUUGGUUGACAGACAUUCCUCUAUACUUCUCCCGUAGUGCCCCCUUACUAGUCUGGUUGGCCUGUAGUGUGUCACAAUCAAGCCUAUAUAGCUGGCAUACACAGGGCUACCAUACACACACCUCUACCCCAUAACCAUACACACACUCUUACCCCACACACACCACUACCCCAUAACCAUACACACACUCUUACCCCAUAACUAUACACACACUCUUACCCCACAACCAUACACACACUCUUACCCUACACACACCACUACCCCAUAACUAUACACACACUCUUACCCCAUAACCAUACACACACUCUUACCCCAUAACCAUACACACACUCUUACCCCACACACACCACUACCCCACAACCAUACACACACUCUUACCCCAUAACUAUACACACACUCUUACCCCACACACACCACUACCCCAUAACCAUACACACACUCUUACCCCACACACACCACUACCCCACAACCAUACACACACUCUUACCCCACAACCACGCCUCCACUGAAACCUCUGCCAUUUUAAAUCCUACAACUAAUUACAGAUGCUUGUGACACUUUGACCAAAGCUGACAGCAAAACUGUACUGUUUUCCAGUACCACUUCAAAACAACAACGAAAAGCCAUCAUUAAUCAAGGACUCCAGGAUCACAUGACGUGGGUGAAAUCAGGAGCAUAUUGGUGAUUAGGAACCGUGUAGGUCUUAAAAGCAAUAGCAAAGGGAGUUACAACCAAACUUGGUCUCAGAGGAAAGAUCUGAAGUCGAAACAUGGCACCAUAAGGUUUGAGACAGCCGUCUUAAAGGAGAAUUCCACCCAAAAUGCACAGCUUCAUAAAAUGCCUCAUAACGGCUGUAUGUCUUUAUUUUGCGACAUUUCUAUAUAUUGGAAAACUUGAUUGUUGACAUACAAAACAUUUUGGGACUAUAUCAACAGUGGACUAAUAUAACAAAUACCACAAGAUUUUUUUUCUCUUUUGGAGGGGGGGUGGAAUUUUCCUUUAACUUCUCUAAAAGCAAUGGGCCGUCUCCUGCCUUUGGUAACUAGACGCUGAAGAGAAGGAAAGAAAGACAGAUGUUUUCUCUUCUCCUUCUCAAGGAAUGUUAAUUCUGUGAAAACUUUUAAAAUUCCAGUCGACGAGUCAUUUUAAUUCGGGUGGGUGG